UACGGGGGGAGCAAGCGUUGUUCGGAUUUACUGGGCGUAAAGGGCGCGUAGGCGGUCGUGACAAGUCACUUGUGAAAUCUCCGGGCUUAACUCGGAACGGUCAAGUGAUACUGUCGGACUAGAGUACAAGAAGGGGGCAACUGGAAUUCUCGGUGUAGCGGUGAAAUGCGUAGAUAUCGAGAGGAACACCUGCGGCGAAGGCGGGUUGCUGGGCUGAUAACUGACGCUGGAGGCGCGGAAAGCCCAGGGGAGCGAACGGG
rnacentral:rRNA from 1 species